rnacentral:lncRNA from 1 species
AGUUGAGUUUUUUUAAUGUUGAUGCUUUAGGCCUAUGGCUAAUUCAAAGCUGUAUAGAAUUAGCUUUAGGGCUUAGUGUUUGAUUUAUCAACUUUGCAAAAAAUCAGAGUAUCGUCAGUGAAUUGUAAGCAUUGCAUUUGCCCUUCUAAACCAUAUGGACCAAUUAAUUACCAAAAAAAACCCACGUGGACCAAUUCCAUGGAUCAGAUUUUUGGAGUUGGUAAUCUUCAAAAUUUUUACAAGGUCAUCUGUUACUAGGAUGAACA